rnacentral:rRNA from 1 species
GAUGAACGCUGGCGGCGUGCUUAACACAUGCAAGUCGAACGGAAAGGCUCCUGCUUGCCGGGGUACUCGAGUGGCGAACGGUUGAGUAACACGUGGGUGAUCUUCCCUGCACUUCGGGAUAAGCCUGGGAAACUGUGUCUAAUACCGGAUAGUACCACAUUUUGUUUGGUGUGGUGGAAAGUUUUUCGGUGUGGGAUGAGCUCGCGGCCUAUCAGCUUGUUGGUGGGGUAAUGGCCUACCAAGGCGUCGACGGGUAGCCGGCCUGAGAGGGUGUACGGCCACAUUGGGACUGAGAGACGGCCCAGACUCCGACGGGAGGCAGAAGUGGGGAAUAUUGCACAAUGGGCGCAAGCCUGAUGAAGCGACGCCGCGUGGGGGAUGACGGCGUUCGGGUUGUAAACUCCUUUCGCUAGGGACGAAGCGUUUUUGUGACGGUACCUGGAGAAGAAGCACCGGCUAACUACGUG